rnacentral:lncRNA from 12 species
AUGAAUCUCAUACGUGAGCAUCCAGUUAGUAAUCCAAGCACCUGUCUGCUCUGUCCGCGACACUCAAUAAAACGUGGUGCAGCCAGCUGGCAUUGCCCCCGCCUCGCCUGCCUGCUGUUGACUGGACCUGGGGAUGUGUUUGGCUUUUCACAAAUUGUACAUCAUGGUUUCAAGCUGAAAUGGCUUCUGGACUUCAUUGUUAGACCCCUGGCUCAUCAGAAUCCAGGAUUACAUGGAAGUAUCUCUGAGCUGCUACCAGAAAACGGGAAACUGAGUAAGUGAGAAGAGAGAAUCGAGGCGUUUCUCCUUGGCUUUGGCCAGAGCAGUGUCACUUGUGUACGUUUUAAAUAAUGAAUUUCAGGAAAGUUUCUGCAUUAGGAGUUCAACUAGAAAAUAAGUUUAAAAUAUCUUCGGCAAAGAGGAAUUUUUUGAAGUCAUUUAAGCAAGGAUAUACAGGGCUAUAUUCAUUUUUUAAACUGUCACCCUGGCACUGUGUGGAGAAUGGAUCGAGCCUAGAACCCGUUGUGCAGAGGGCCCAAACUAAGGCUUAUGAAGUUAGAAGUUUGUGAAGACAAGAGAACAGAUGCGAGAGAUGCUGGGGAGAUCAGCCUUCCAGCCCUGGUGACUCCAGGCCUGGUCUUUGGACCAGCAGCCUCAGCACCACUAGGGAGACUGUGAGAAAUGCAAAUGCCCAGCCUCCUCCCCACCCCUACCAGCCACGAGAGCAGAAUUUGCAUUUUGACCAGAUCCCCAAGGGAUCCCUAUCUUCCUCCCACUUGAAAUGUCAGAAGCAUUGCUUUAGCAAUGCCUCAGCUCUGUUUGCCUGGCAAAGGGGAAUGAGGAAACACUACAUGAUGACUUUGACCUUCUGUUCGGUCAUCCUGAAAUAGGUGGCCUGUUGGAAGAGCACUUUGCCUCAGCAGCUCAGUUAUGGCAAGGCCUUUCUGGUGCCAAGGCAUCUAUCCAAGUGAGCUGGCAAGUAAUUGCACUGGCUAAGGACCUAGUUGCUCUCUUACUAUAUUCUCCCUUUCUCUGUGGGUACAGAUUUCUUCAAGCAUCUAGGACCAUCUCCCUGGAUCUGGGGUGUCCUACUGAAUUGGUCCGUGGUAAACCUUUUCUGCCUAGAUUAUUCUUUUUUUUUUUAAGAUUUUAUUUAUUUUUUCAUGAGAGACAGAGAGAGAGAGAGAGAAAGAGGCAGAGACACAGGCAGAGGGAGAAGCAGGCUCCAUGCAGGGAGUCCGACGUGGGACUUGAUCCUAGGACUCUAGGAUCACGCUCUGGG